CCUUCUAACAGGAGCUGAAAACCAAUGGUUCUCUAGGGGUUCUUUGGGCCCUGGGAGUCAGAUUGGAACUACAGAAUCCUCCAGCUUUGUGGACAGAGCAGCUUCUCCACUGUGAGAGAGCUGGAGUACCCAGAAUAUGCUACAUAGGCAGAACAUGUGGCCAGAAUGGCUGAGGAAAGCCCAUCUCCAGAGAAGCCUGUACAAGGAGUCCCUGAGAACUCCUCCAGGAGCAUGGUCAGAGAUGUUCUGGGUUGCUCAUGGCUUUUGUCUCUCACCUGCCACUAUGGAGCCAUGUGUGUCGAAGAGACAGAUCUCAAGAGACAUCUUCCUUGGAGCCUACAUAUUCUUCUUCUCCAUCCACAAAUAUAUUCACAGCUUCUGUUUGUAAAAUGUUUUAGUUCCUUGACAUCUUUCUACUAGUGAAGCAGUCAACUGAGAGAGUUCAGUCAUGGUUUCUGGUUGGCUAAUAAUGAACAGUUGUCUUCUUCUCCAUACUCCAACAGCCAUGAUGCUCAGCCCAAGCAUAUGGAGCCAAGCAAAGUAAAUUAAAUCCACUGAAAA